rnacentral:rRNA from 1 species
UACGAAGGGGGCUAGCGUUGCUCGGAAUCACUGGGCGUAAAGCGCACGUAGGCGGAUCUUUAAGUCGGGGGUGAAAUCCUGGAGCUCAACUCCAGAACUGCCUUCGAUACUGAAGAUCUCGAGUCCGGGAGAGGUGAGUGGAACUGCGAGUGUAGAGGUGAAAUUCGUAGAUAUUCGCAAGAACACCAAUGGCGAAAGCAGCUCUCUGGGACGGUACUGACGCUGAGACGCGAAAGCGUGGGGAGCGAACAGG